GGAAGGGUGGCCGAGUUGGUUAUGGCGCCAGGUUAAGGUAAUCUUAACAUCUGUUUCCUGGUGGGGCAACCCGCGCGAGUUCGAGUCUCGUCCCUUUCA
rnacentral:tRNA from 1 species